UACGGAGGGAGCGAGCGUUAAUCGGAAUUACUGGGCGUAAAGGGCGCGUAGGCGGUGGGUUACGUCUGCCGUGAAAUCCCCGGGCUCAACCUGGGAAUGGCGGUGGAAAAGGGCUGACUGGAGUAUGGGAGAGGGUGAUGGAAUUCCAGGUGUAGCGGUGAAAUGCGUAGAGAUCUGGAGGAACACCAGUGGCGAAGGCGGUCACCUGGCCCAAUACACACGCUGAGGCGCGAAAGCGUGGGGAGCAAACAGG
rnacentral:rRNA from 1 species